rnacentral:lncRNA from 1 species
CCUCGGGUGUGUGUGCCCUUCAUAACACCUCGUCCUUGAGUGCAGGUGGGCCUGCGUUAAUUAGGCGAGCCCUUGUGAGAGAGGUCUAAAGAUAGAAGACAUGAAAGAGAUUCAGAGCUGCAGAAGAUGCUCUCCUGUUGUUCUGCAAGGGGCAGACUGCCAUAUGUGAGAGGCUCUAUGGAGAGGCCACACAGGAAGCAAGGACCUGCAUGCAGCCUCCAGGAGCUGAGAGCGGUCCCUGGCCAAAAGCUGGCAAGGAAUUGGAGACCUCAGUCCUACUGCCAUAAGGACAUGCAUCCUGCCAACAACCAGGGAUCUUGGAAUGAGAACAUAAGCCUCAGAUGAGAUGGCAGUCCCAGGUGACACCUUGAUUUCAGCCUGCUUCACCAUGAGAUGGCCUUGAGGAUAGAAGUUGCGUACUAAGAUGAUGGAGCAGACAGAUGAAACCUUGUACUAAGAUGAUGGAGCAGACAGAUGAAAGAUGGAGGCCUUGGUGAAAGGCAGGUCCCUGGCAAUACUAUGAAGUUGUCAAACCAGCACUGCAAUAGUUACUUCCAAACAUAUGAGAGAGAAAUAAACAUAUCUUGCUUACAACUUUUUAAAUUUUUUGCAGAGAGUUGAAAUUAAUUCUGACACAGGAAGCAAAAGUGGAAGUGAGAAACUAAUAAAGAGAUGACUGCAGUAUUCCAUGUGAGAGAUGAAGUUGAUGUGGACCAGGGCAAAUGGUGGAAGUGCUGGGAGGUGUAAGAUACCAAAUAUACUUUGAAGGGUGACCUUCAGCCACCAGCUGGAAAUCCAGGAGGGGCCUCAGCCAAGUUUACUCUCGGCACAAUAAGGAAGCAGAGGGCUCCCAGGGACGUUCUUCCUCACCACCCAUCUUCUCUGUCUUCCAUUCCCUAUGCCCUGCCUAGGAGUCUCAGCUUCAUCCGCCUUAUCCAUGUCCCGGCCAUCUUUGCUGACACAAUCCUCUCUUCACUCACCCCCAACACCUAGACCCCAGGUCAGAGGAUGCUAGCUCCAGGUCCCCAUCCUUCUGGGCCUUGUUCUCUGCUAUGAAGCUG